rnacentral:rRNA from 1 species
UACGUAGGGGGCAAGCGUUGUCCGGAAUCAUUGGGCGUAAAGCGCGUGUAGGCGGCUGGCUAAGUCCGCUCUGAAAGCCCGGGGCUCAACCCCGGGAGGCGGGUGGAUACUGGUCAGCUCGAGUCCGGAAGAGGAGUGUGGAAUUCCUGGUGUAGCGGUGAAAUGCGCAGAUAUCAGGAGGAACACCGGUGGCGAAGGCGGGAUCCUGGGCCAGUACUGACGCUGAGGAGCGAAAGCGUGGGGAGCGAACAGG